UUAGUUAAAUUCCGUUAUGGGCAAUUACUUAUCUUGAGUCAAGUUAAUUUUUUGGCUAAACUUCAGUUUGUCAAAAUCUGUUAUUUUAUUGUCAAAAUAUGUUAUUCUACAUUCUUUGUGUUUAAGGAAUGAUAUAGCACAUUAUCAUUAAACACACAUACAACACAAAAAAACAAAAAUACUUUACUCAAUUAAUAUCAAUAUACACCCAAAAUGCAAAAUAAAAUGCAAAAAAACUUUCCUUUUGCAACCGCAAUAUUGGAUGCUUCAAAUCAACUACUACACCCUGUUUAUCAAAAAAAUAAAUUAAAAAAAAGGAAAUUAAACAAAAAUAUCACAACAACACUCACAAAAUAUUACAAAGUUAAUAAAAUAAGUUUUCCAUAACCCUUGGAAGGGAAACCACUUCAUCCUCUACAAAAUUCUUUGUUCAAGAUA
rnacentral:lncRNA from 1 species